UACGAAGGGGGCUAGCGUUGUUCGGAAUUACUGGGCGUAAAGCGCACGUAGGCGGGUCGUUAAGUCAGGGGUGAAAUCCCAGAGCUCAACUCUGGAACUGCCUUUGAUACUGGCGACCUAGAGUUCGGAAGAGGUUAGUGGAAUUCCCAGUGUAGAGGUGAAAUUCGUAGAUAUUGGGAAGAACACCAGUGGCGAAGGCGGCUAACGUGGUCCGAUACUGACGCUGAGGUGCGAAAGCGUGGGAGCA
rnacentral:rRNA from 1 species